ensembl:lncRNA
GUGAUGUUAUUUGUGACGUUUUUUGUCUUGGAAACUAUUGCUUCUAUUUAAGAUUAGGAAUCCUUUUAUCCAUAAUCUGUUUUUCAUUAGGGCACUUGACUUUCUGGAUAAAAGGUGUUGAGGUGUGUUGUACAUAUCAUUAGCUUUGCACAGUUCAAUUAUUGUUUCAUUACUGAAUAUGCAAUCUCUGCAGUGAAAUUAAAGCUGUUAUGUUUGUUCCCCCAGCUCGUCAAGUACUAAGCUUUACACCACCAGCAGCAAAUUUACCCUGGCAGCAUAUGGGUGAAAACGCUGGAGCUUCGGAUGACAGCGGCUCACUUCAAGAGCAGGUGAAGCAAGUAGGGACAAUGUUGAAGACGUUUGCUCUCACUGGGCAAUCAGGUGCGUUACCUGAAAGGAGCAUCUGACCGUGAAGGCAGAAAAAGCCGUACAGCUGAGAAGGACCCACAGCCGACCCCUUAAACCUAGGCUGACUACUGACACCCCAGCAUCACUGAACUGGAACACUUUCUUUAUCCUGCAGUCAGUAACAUCAAGAAGCCAGAAGUGCCAGACUACACACACCAAAUCCAC